GUCUAUGGCCAUGCCACUAUGAACAAGCCUGGUGUCUGAUCUCAGAAGUUAAGCAGGGGCGGGCCUGGUUAGUACUUAGAUGAGAGAUCACCUGGGAAGAUCGAAUGCUGUAGGCA
rnacentral:rRNA from 1 species